rnacentral:rRNA from 1 species
GACGAACCGUGCAAACGUUGUUCGGAAUCACUGGGCUUAAAGGGCGCGUAGGCGGCUUGCCAAGUCAGGGGUGAAAUCUUUCGGCUUAACCGGAAAAGUGCCUUUGAUACUGGCGAGCUCGAGGGAGGUAGGGGUGUGUGGAACUUCUGGUGGAGCGGUGAAAUGCGUUGAUAUCAGAAGGAACGCCGGUGGCGAAAGCGACGCACUGGACCUCUUCUGACGCUGAGGCGCGAAAGCUAGGGGAGCAAACGGG